rnacentral:rRNA from 1 species
UGGGUAACCUGCCUCAAAGAGGGGAAUAGCCUCCCGAAAAGGGGGGAUUAAUACCGCAUAAUAUGUUUAAGUCGCAUGACUUUAACAUCAGAGGAUUUUCUUUUAGAAAUUCCACUUUGAGAUGGACCCGCGGCGCAUUAGCUAGUUGGUGAGGUAACGGCUCACCAAGGCAACGAUGCGUAGCCGGCCUGAGAGGGCACACGGCCACACUGGCACUGAAACACGGGCCAGACUCCGUAGGGAGG